rnacentral:rRNA from 1 species
UUGACCAAAGCCGCAAGGCAGAGGUUGAAAAGAUAGCGGCGAACGGGUGAGUAACGCGUGGGCAAUCUGCCCCGAAGACUGGGAUAACACUCCGAAAGGGGUGCUAAUACCGGAUGAGACCACGGGAUCGCAUGGUUCUGAGGUCAAAGGCGGGGAUCGUAAGACCUGUCACUUCGGGAGGAGCCUGCGUCCUAUCAGCUAGUUGGUAGGGUAACGGCCUACCAAGGCUUUUGACGGGUAGCUGGACUGAGAGGUUGGUCAGCCACACUGGGAGUGAGACACUGCCCAGACUCCUACGGGAGGCUGCAGUCGAGAAUCUUUUGCAAUGGGCGAAAGCCUGACCAUGCGACGCCGCGUGCGGGAUGAAGGCCUUCGGGUCGUAAACCGC